UACAGAGGCCACGAGCGUUAGGCGGAAUCACUGGGCUUAAAGCGUGUGUAGGUGGAUGGGUGAGUACCUUGUGAAAUCCCACGGCUCAACCGUGGAACUGCUUGGUAUACUGCCUGUCUUGAGGCACUCAGGGGCGAGCGGAACAAAUGGUGGAGCGGUGAAAUGCGUAGAUAUCAUUUGGAACGCCAAUGGUGAAGACAGCUCGCUGGGGGUGUACUGACACUGAGACACGAAAGCCAGGGGAGCAAACGGG
rnacentral:rRNA from 1 species